rnacentral:rRNA from 1 species
UACAGAGGUCUCAAGCGUUGUUCGGAAUUACUGGGCGUAAAGGGCUCGUAGGUGGCCAACUAAGUCAGACGUGAAAUCCCUCGGCUUAACCGGGGAACUGCGUCUGAUACUGGAUGGCUUGAGUUUGGGAGAGGGAUGCGGAAUUCCAGGUGUAGCGGUGAAAUGCGUAGAUAUCUGGAGGAACACCGGUGGCGAAGGCGGCAUCCUGGACCAACACUGACACUGAUGAGCGAAAGCCAGGGGAGCAAACGGG